UCAGGAGCUAUGGGCACUCACGUGUAGAAGCAGUGGCCAGCUACUCAUUGGAAACAUGACUGGAUGAACAGUAUAUGCUCGUGGGGAUUGCUCACAUGGCUUCUCAACAAAGCAUCAACUGUAAAGGAAGAAGCAGAGCUUGGUGUUCCUUUCCCCACCUCCCUACAAAUUGAUUGGUGUGAAUGCUAGUUGCUUGUUACUGACUCCUCCAUAAGCUUAUUUUGAUUUGAGCUGUUGGCUAGAUAAAAACAACAGCAUACUGAGGGUAAUAAUAGGAGGGCUGAGGCAUUCCUCACAAUAUCAGUCAAUAUUGUGCUCACUUAAAUGCUAAAGCUGUCAGUCUGCUUCUACCAAGCAGCACAUCUUACUCUGUUUCUUCACUCUGCAUAAAGUUGCUCACCACAAAAUGGAAUAGCAUGAUGGGUAUGUAUACAUAUAGAUGUGGGAGAAAACACCCUGGAACUAUCCAACUGAAAUGGAAGAUUAAUGUUCUCUAAAGCAGGAUUCCUCAAGCUCAGUAACUUUAAGAUGGGUGGACUUCAACUCCCAGAAUUCCCCAGCCAGCCACUGAAUCUACUACCUCUGCUUUUACUUCCUAAUUUGCAUGAAAUAAAGCAGCUUUCCUGCUUUGCUUUCCUCAUCCCUGUCAAUCUUUUAUCAAAUCUCAAAUCAAUUUGAUUAGAGCUGUGUUGUCUUUCAAUCUCAAAAUUCAGAUUGGAAUAAAAUCCUAGCUGAUUCACAUACACAGAGAUUGGCAAUAAAUAAUUGAUUUAUUUCAAAUAAAACAACAUACUUUUUUUAGAGCAACUUUAAAUAUAUUUUCUCCAUGUGAUUAACAUUAAGUAUUGCAAGAAUGUACUUAUAACUAUCAGAAAGGGACUUCAGCUGAGACAAAUUAGAUAUACACAGGGAGAGAGAUUGACAGCACAAUCCAAUCAAACAAUGCCUAUCAUUAUUUCAAAAGUAAAUUCUACGGAACUUGGACUGGACUUUACUCUGAAGUUGUAUGUAGAAAUCUGUUGCCUGAAAUUUCACUAUGAUAUGAAUAAAUA